ensembl:lncRNA
CCCUCCUUCUUCCUCCUCUUCGCUGAAUACAGCUCACGGUAAGUACUGGUUCACACAGUUCGUUCUCGAGGUGCUCACUCUCUUUCUCUUCCUCCACAGGCAACGGCUGGGACACAAAAGCACAGUUAAUUCGGCUUGGUUUUGCUCUCACCUCUUCGCUGAUUGCAGCUCACAGUAAGUACUGGUUCACACAGUUCGUUCCUUGGGUGCUCACUCGCUUUCUCUUUCUCCACAGGUAGCGGCGUAAGUACAGUUUUCCUCGGUCUCUCCUCGUGUUACCCACUCUCUCUCCUUUUCUCUCCACAGGUAUCAACUUGGGCACAAUAGCACAGUUAGUUUGCUUUGAAUGGCUCUCACCUCUGGGCUGGACACAGCGUACUGUAAGUACAGGUUCCCUCUGGUUCUCCUUGUGUUACUCACUCUCUCUUUCCUUUCCUCUCCACAGGUAUCAACUUGGACACAAAGCACAGUUACUCUGCUUUGGAUGGCUUUCACCUCUGGGCUGGACACAGCGUACCAUGCUAUCUCCGGAGAUCUGAAGCACGCUCACAACAUAUACUGUACUGAACUAGGCUAGGACCAGCAGUCUCCUUGUCCUCCCGCGACGAAGUGCGUGAAGGCGGGGGUUUAUCUGACAGGACACACGGCAAUACACAGCAGCCCACAGCAAUAUACAACACCACGUCAAAAUUAUAGGUUUUCACAGCACGAAGACUCACCCACCACACUCAGUGUACGAAAAGGACACCCGUCUUCCUUCACUUCGCUUGGUUCGGAUCUGGCGAUGGAAUAUGCGGCCUAGCUAGUGAUGUCGUCGUUGUGACUACUUCAAUAAGUAUUCCUUCGGCUCUCCCACCACGCUAUAUUAGGGGUAGGGCCGCCCUCCUCCUCCUGGAGAGAUCUACACAACGCCAGGUCAAUAUACAGGGCACUUUCGACUGGCUCUUAGUACUCACAUCAAUGCCG